rnacentral:rRNA from 1 species
UACGAGGGGAGCAAGCGUUGUUCGGAUUUACUGGGCGUAAAGGGCGCGUAGGCGGCCACCGCAAGUCGGUUGUGAAAUCUCCGGGCUUAACCCGGAAAGGUCAAUCGAUACUGCGGGGCUAGAGUGCAGAAGGGGCAACUGGAAUUCUCGGUGUAGCGGUGAAAUGCGUAGAUAUCGAGAGGAACACCUGCGGCGAAGGCGGGUUGCUGGGCUGACACUGACGCUGAAGCGCGAAAGCUAGGGGAGCGAACGGG